rfam:Aspergillus kawachii IFO 4308 DNA, contig: scaffold00001.
GGCCGAAUGGCGCAAUGGUAGCGCGUUUGUUUUCGGCACAAAAGGUUGCGCGUUCGAAUCGCGUUUCGGUCG